AAGAAUAAGCACCGGCUAACUACGUGCCAGCAGCCGCGGUAAUACGUAGGGUGCAAGCGUUAAUCGGAAUUACUGGGCGUAAAGCGUGCGCAGGCGGCUUUGCAAGACAGAUGUGAAAUCCCCGGGCUCAACCUGGGAACUGCAUUUGUGACUGCAAGGCUGGAGUGCGGCAGAGGGGGAUGGAAUUCCGCGUGUAGCAGUGAAAUGCGUAGAUAUGCGGAGGAACACCGAUGGCGAAGGCAAUCCCCUGGGCCUGCACUGACGCUCAUGCACGAAAGCGUGGGGAGCAAACAGGAUUAGAUACCCUGGUAGUCCACGCCCUAAACGAUGUCAAC
rnacentral:rRNA from 1 species